AGAAACAUGAAAUAAAGAAAAGACUUGACAGAAAAAAAACAUGGCGGAAAAGUGGUUGUUAUACCCGGACCAUAAAGAGGGACGGACAAUGACUGAAAAAUUAGAAGUGGCAGGCAAGGCAACACAAAGCAAACAAACAAACAAACAAACAAACCCGGGAGUUUGGUGUAACCUUUGAACAUCUGCCUGAUACAUCUCCAAACAAGCAGAGAGACAGUCGGUCCGUCCCUGCUUCUGGACCAUCUGUGAGAGCAAUGUUCUAACAUUGGUAACUAGAUGGGGGAUAAACGGAGACAAAUACUUGGUCCUUUGAGUGGAAUCCAGUUGAUAAAAAACAUGCGUUUUCAAGAGGGGAAACUGCACAAAGUAAAGGAGACCAUCAUGCGUCUCUUUCUGUCAGAGCUCUGUAGUCCUGCAGAGUCUCCAGGGGAUGGGAUUAUAGGAGUCCACGGUACGCAGCUAUGCUAAGCCUGCAUAGGAGAAGGUCAAGGGGAGAGCAGAAAAGUCCGCGCCGCCGCCGCUGCUGCUGCAGGGAGCUGUCGGUGGUGCUGCUCUCCUCCUUAGCUUCCUCUGCGCGCACCACCUCCCUUUCCCGACAGAGUUGGGUGGUGUCUUCUUCUCUCUCCUCUGCUGUGCUGUCCCCCCUCCUCUUCCUCUGGUUCACACAUUCAUACAUGCACACAUGCACGUUCUGUAAAAAAUAAAAAAAUAAAAAUGUUGCAUUUUCUUUGAUAUUUAUCACACUUGCUUUCCUAUAUGUAUAAUGCAUGAAGGCCGUGCCGUUGCAGUAAAAUGAGCAUACUUGUUUAUGUGUCAAAUUUAAAGUUUUCGGGAUUUCAUAGCCAGUA